AGCGAACGCUGGCGGCAGGCCUAACACAUGCAAGUCGAACGAACCUUUCGGGGUUAGUGGCGGACGGGUGAGUAACACGUGGGAACGUGCCUUUAGGUUCGGAAUAACUCAGGGAAACUUGUGCUAAUACCGAAUGUGCCCUUCGGGGGAAAGAUUUAUCGCCUUUAGAGCGGCCCGCGUCUGAUUAGCUAGUUGGUUGAGGUAAUGGCUCACCAAGGCGACGAUCAGUAGCUGGUCUGAGAGGAUGAUCAGCCACAUUCGGACUGAGACACGGCCCAAACUCCUACGGGAGGCAGCAGUGGGGAAUCUUGCGCAAUGGGCGAAAGCCUGACGCAGCCAUGCCGCGUGAAUGAUGAAGGUCUUAGGAUUGUAAAAUUCUUUCACCGGGGACGAUAAUGACGGUACCCGGAGAAGAAGCCCCGGCUAACUUCGUG
rnacentral:rRNA from 1 species